GAUAAUAACCUUUUUUAAAAAGUUUUUUUUUUUUUUAAGAUUUUAUUUAUUUAUUUGACAGGCAGAUCACAAGUAGGCAGAGAGGCAGGCAGAGAGAGAGGAGGAAGCAGGCUCCCUGUUUAGCAAAGAGCCCAAUGCCAGGCUCGAUCCCAGGACCCCGAGAACAUGACCUGUGCUGAAGGCAGAGGUUUAACCCACUGAGCCACUCAAGUGCCCCUUUUUUUUUGUUGUUUUUGUUUUUUAAGUAUUCUCUCCACCCAACCCGGGGCUUGAACUACAAUACCGAGAUCGAGAGUCCCUCGCUCCACCAACUGAGCCAGCCAUGCACAAGAGGAUAAGCUGGAAUGGUUGGGCAGGUUGGACACUGCACAAGGGGGCACAGAGUGAGCUCAAGCCAUGCUGGAAAAGAAACCUGGCACCACUCCUCUUGCUUCUGGGAUCAAAGACGGUCUGGCUCCGGCUCCUCUGGACCCCAGGCUUGGCCUCCCCCCACCUCCAUCCCUCCCAUCAUCUGAUGGAUUCCGGAACCGCUGGGAGCUUAGGGAAGAAGAAAGAUCAUCUGUCUAAAGGCAUCAACAUCGCUUGCCUUUAAAAAUUUUUUUUUUUUUUAUUUUAAACCUUCCCACAAUUCAAAUGUUUCUCUUAUUAUCUUCUGCCGAGGGAAAAAAUUAAUAACACGGCGCAAUAUAAAACACUAAAUUAAAGGCAUUUUGGAACCAGCA
rnacentral:lncRNA from 1 species